rnacentral:rRNA from 1 species
CAGUAGCCGCGGUAAUACGUAGGUGGCAAGCGUUAUCCGGAAUUAUUGGGCGUAAAGCGCGCGUAGGCGGUUUCUUAAGUCUGAUGUGAAAGCCCACGGCUCAACCGUGGAGGGUCAUUGGAAACUGGGAAACUUGAGUGCAGAAGAGGAAAGUGGAAUUCCAUGUGUAGCGGUGAAAUGCGCAGAGAUAUGGAGGAACACCAGUGGCGAAGGCGACUUUCUGGUCUGUAACUGACGCUGAUGUGCGAAAGCGUGGGGAUCAAACAGGAUUAGAUACCCCCGUAGUCCCUGUCUCUAUACA